CUGAUGGGUGAAGCUGCACAGGAUGGGAAAGACCCUGCUGGUGAUGUGGAUGCUGAGACGUGGCUCAUCUGGGUGGUCUGAGUGGGGUAGGUGAGAAAGGAGGACUCAGCCCAGAGAGCCUCCCCGGAAAUCCCCACCUCCGGCCUGGGGCUCGAAAUCACUUAUCACGAGUGCAGACAUAGCCAGCUCUCCUCACCCAGUGACCAGGCAAAUGGACAAAGUUAAGGACAGAAGACACAUCAGCACCACCAGCAGCCCCCCCACUCCUGCCCUGCAGUGGGCAUUCCCUUUGACCUCUGGGACAAGGCACAUACUAGAUGAUCUGUCUGAUAGAAAUGGGGCCACGAAUUUCCCACGGUGAAGAGGCAAGGAUGCAUCUUCAUGCUUCACUACCUACCAAGGACGUCGUCAGAAUAGUGGAGAUGCAGAGAGCCACGGGCUCAGGAAGUGCUG
rnacentral:lncRNA from 1 species